AAGGUGCUUUUACGUCGAAAAGACCUAGUAUCGAGAUUCUGUACAGUGGAUGUUUCCACGACCAUAUGUAUAACAUGGUAAAUGAAAAGUAAGAAGCUGCAAAUGGCAUGUAGGAAAAAUAGGAGGUAACUAAAAGAGAAAACCAUACUAUCAAUACCGUUUUUAAGAAGCUCUGUGUUUGAGGCGGCGGACUAGAUCUUUCUAACAUACUCAUGAAACGAAGUAGAAACGACAAAUAUAAAAUCAACUCUAAUCCAAAAGGCCCAACAUAAAGGAAUGUAGUUAUUGCCCUCCAGUACUAAAUAAAUC